GACGAACGCUGGCGGCGUGCUUAACACAUGCAAGUCGAACGGUGAACCUCUUCGGAGGGGAUCAGUGGCGAACGGGUGAGUAACACGUGGGCAACCUGCCCCCGGCUCUGGGAUAACUCCAAGAAAUUGGGGCUAAUACCGGAUGUUCACCGCUUCCCGCAUGGGUGGUGGUGGAAAGGGUUUCCGGCUUGGGAUGGGCCCGCGGCCUAUCAGCUUGUUGGUGGGGUAGUGGCCUACGAAGGCCACGACGGGUAGCCGGCCUGAGAGGGUGACCGGCCACACGGGGACUGAGACACGGCCCAGACUGCUACGGGAGGCAGAGGUGGGGAAUAUUGCGCAAUGGGCGGAAGCCUGACGCAGCGACGCCGCGUGGGGGAUGACGGCCUGCGGGUUGUAAACCUCUUUCAGCAGGGACGAAGCGCAAGUGACGGUACCUGCAGAAGAAGCACCGGCCAACUACGUG
rnacentral:rRNA from 1 species